UGUCCUUUGGUGUGGUGGUUAUCACGUCUGCUUUACACGCAGAAGGUCGCGGGUUCGAUCCCGGCUAGGGCCU
rfam:Angiostrongylus costaricensis strain Costa Rica genome assembly, scaffold: ACOC_contig0001178